rnacentral:rRNA from 1 species
UACGUAGGCAGCGAGCGUUGUUCGGAGUUACUGGGCGUAAAGGGUGUGUAGGCGGUUGCUUAAGUUUGGUGUGAAAUCUCCCCGGCUUAACCGGGAGGGUGCGCCGAAUACUGAGUGACUAGAGUGCGGGAGAGGAGAGUGGAAUUCCUGGUGUAGCGGUGAAAUGCGUAGAUAUCAGGAGGAACACCGGUGGUGUAGACGGCUCUCUGGACCGUAACUGACGCUGAGACGACGAAAGCGUGGGUAGCAAACAGG